rnacentral:rRNA from 1 species
UACAGGGGGUGCAAACGUUGCUCGGAAUCAUUGGGCGUAAAGCGCACGUAGGCGGUCUGUUAUGUCGGAUGGGAAAGCCCUUGGCUCAACUGAGGAAGUGCAUCCGAAACUGGCAGGCUAGAGUACUAAAGAGGAUCGCGGAAUUCCCGGUGUAGAGGUGAAAUUCGUAGAUAUCGGGAGGAACACCGGUGGCGAAGGCGGCGAUCUGGGUAGAUACUGACGCUGAGGUGCGAAAGCGUGGGGAGCAAACAGG